GCCCCCAUCGUCUAGCGGCCCAGGACGCCGCCCUUUCAAGGCGGUAGCACGGGUU
rnacentral:tRNA from 1 species